UGGGGAAUCUUGCACAAUGGGGGCAACCCUGAUGCAGCGACGCCGCGUGAGCGAUGAAGCCCUUCGGGGCGUAAAGCUCUUUCGACCGGAACGAUAAUUACGGUACCGGGAGAAGAAGCUGCGGCCAACUACGUGCCAGCAGCCGCGGUAAUACGUAGGCAGCAAGCGUUGUUCGGAGUUACUGGGCGUAAAGAGUGCGUAGGCGGUUUUCUAAGUUCGGUGUGAAAUCUCCCGGCUUAACUGGGAGGGUGCGCCGAAGACUGGGAAGCUGGAGUGUGGGAAAGGCAGGCGGAAUUCCUGGUGUCGCGGUGAAAUGCGUAGAGAUCAGGAGGAACACCGGCGGUGUAGACGGCGUGCUAGACCAUAACUGACGCUGAGGCACGAAAGCGUGGGUAGCAAA
rnacentral:rRNA from 1 species